GCCUGCAUGGUGUAGUGAUCUGAGUGUUUGACUACAACUCUGAAGACCAGGGUUCGAUUCCCUGCUCAGCCA